rnacentral:lncRNA from 1 species
CAUGGGGUGUUGAGCUUGGAUCAGAUUGGCAAAUGCAUAAUAAUCUGAUUCCCAAUGUGCUUCAUUGUUGCCUCCGAGCACUCGACCACCCCCGUCCCCUCAGCCAUUAGGAAACGAAAGAAAGGCUCUCUCUGUUUCUGUCUCUCUGCUGCACCGAUGAUGAAACCAUGGAUGCCCUGCUUUUGUUCGCAGAAUUCGUGAGUGACGUCAAAGGAAAAUGUCUCCUAAACUUACGAUGGAGCAGCUAGAGAGAUCAGAGUUAUUUGUCACAUAUAUACAUGUGUGUAUAUAUAUAUAUAUAUAUAUAUACAUUAUUGUACUAUCUAUGUAUUAAGAUCACUCAAGGAGACAAGUGGCUGUCCUUCAUUGCAUGCACUUCUCUUUGUUUUCAUUAAAAAACUUCAUGUUUUGUGGAGUUCACAACUCUUUUUAUA